UUAUAUAUCUAUCGCACAUCGGUAAAUAUAGUCUCCAUAAUAAUACCAAUUCGAAUGGACACCGAGCAGUCACCUUCGCAGCCGCAAAGAACAUGAUCGUAGGAAGCACAUGUUUUCUACACAAAAA
rnacentral:lncRNA from 1 species